rnacentral:rRNA from 1 species
GAUGAACGCUGGCGGCGUGCUUAACACAUGCAAGUCGAACGAUGAAGCCCAGCUUGCUGGGUGGAUUAGUGGCGAACGGGUGAGUAACACGUGAGUAACCUGCCCUUAACUCUGGGAUAAGCCUGGGAAACUGGGUCUAAUACCGGAUAGGAGCGCCUACCGCAUGGUGGGUGUUGGAAAGAUUUAUCGGUUUUGGAUGGACUCGCGGCCUAUCAGCUUGUUGGUGAGGUAAUGGCUCACCAAGGCGACGACGGGUAGCCGGCCUGAGAGGGUGACCGGCCACACUGGGACUAAGACACGGCCCAGACUCCUACGGGAGGCAGCAGUGGGGAAUAUUGCACAAUGGGCAAAAGCCUGAUGCAGCGACGCCGCGUGAGGGAUGACGGCCUUCGGGUUGUAAACCUCUUUCAGUAGGGAAGAAGCGAAAGUGACGGUACCUGCAGAAGAAGCACCGGCUAACUACGUG